CAGCAUUAUGAUGAUGUCAAACUUUCUACUGCUGGUGAUGCUGGGACUCCUUGUACAAGAAUCAAUGGCAGAUAUAGUCCUGACUCAGGAUCCAGCAGCUCAGUCUGUUCAGCUGGGAGACACUGUCUCUAUCAGCUGUACAGCCAGUCAGAGUGUGAGCAGCUACCUCAACUGGUACCAGCAAAAACCUGGUCAGGCUCCUAAAUUUUUGAUUUAUUAUGCCACAACUCCCCAGUCUGGGAUUCCUGAUCGUUUCAGUGGGAGUGGAUCUGGGACUCAGUUUACACUAAAAAUCACUGGAGUCCAGGCUGAAGAUGCAGGAGAUUAUUACUGUCAGAGUGCUCAUUAUAUCAGUAGUAGCUGGGUGUUCACACAGUGAUACAGAGCCGUACAAAAACCUCCCUCAGUCAGACUGCACAGAGACUUCACUGCUGCAGCUGGGACCUACUGCAGGUGCUGAGGGGGGAAUCACUGGUCUGGAACACUGAGCUGCAGUGUAUAUUAUGAAAUGUUUUAUACUCUCAAAUCAAAACUAUUACCAUAUAUUUUCAUUUCUGUGUAUUCAAACUUUUAAUUAGGAAUGCAAUGUGGCAGAAUUUCCAAUGGCUUUGCUUCAUAAUCUCUCCCUGGGCAGUAGACAUUUGUUGUUCUGAAGCAGUGCACUGACAUAAAAUAUCAUAUUUCCAAACGAAUUCAUUCUUUAAAAGUUUCAAAGAAGAUAUCACAGCAUGCAUCAGCAGUGAACAGCAGGCAGUCCAGCACAGUGGAGUCACUCAGUCCAGAGCUCUCCCAGCACACAUCACACAGGCUGCUGUUACACACCCUGAC